rnacentral:lncRNA from 1 species
CAAAGUAUAAAAGAACCAGAUGCUCCGCAGGGCGUAGCUUUAUACGACCGCAGAGGUUGAACCCUGAAUGGUUGGGGCAAGUAUGGACACAACAUUCAAGCUGGAUUCAGCUCUAAAUUUGGAUUGUGAUUAAAUAGUUGACACAGCAUAGGUUUCUGACACAGAAUGAAUGUGUUCUAAUGAACUUAAAAUUUUUGUUUUCUCUUAGAGCAAUUCACUAUGCUGUUGAAUAUUAAUCCUCUCAAAAAAAUGUUUGAAGAAAUUUUCUUUUUUAUUUAUGAAAUUUCAAAUGAGAAAAAUUAAACCCAAUUUUUUUAAUCACAUCCCCCUUUCCCUUAUUCCAAAACUAAUCUCAAUUGAAAUUUCUAAUGGAGUUUGCAACAAUAACUACUCAUUUAAAUACAUCAUAAAAUAUUAAGAUGUAAAUAAACUGCUUGUUAUCACUGAAUGGUAAAGAUUAUUUUAAUUUAUCAGUUGGUAGUAAAAAGUGAAUAUACAUUGUAUAUUGUAUAUAAC